UACGGAGGAUGCGAGCGUUAUCCGGAUUUAUUGGGUUUAAAGGGUGCGCAGGCGGCCUGUUAAGUCAGCGGUAAAAGCCCGGGGCUCAACCCCGGCCUGCCGUCGGAACUGGCGGCCUCGAGUGGGCGAGAAGUAUGCGGAAUGCGUGGUGUAGCGGUGAAAUGCAUAGAUAUCACGCAGAACUCCGAUUGCGAAGGCAGCAUACCGGCGCCCGACUGACGCUGAGGCACGAAAGCGUGGGUAUCGAACAGG
rnacentral:rRNA from 1 species